UCGUCUUGUUGUCGAUCGCACGCCUCUUUUUCUUGGUGCAAGUGACGAAUGAUGGGGAAGUCAAGACGCACGCACCCUUUUAUUGGUAGACCUGUCUAAUUUGCUUUAGCACGUCACCAAUUGCUAUGCUCUGAUGACCUUUUAGAGCUGUGGAUCUGCAUACUGUGUUCAAGCUGUCAGCAAUUUGCCCAUUAGAUGUUUUUUAUGCAUAUUUAAAUACGAAGUAAGAGAACUGUGCAGUUUCUGACAGCUUUCCUGGAGAUCUUUAGGAAGAAAACGAGCAAGAACAAAAUGUAUUUUCUUUAAGAAAGAAACUGAAAUAAAUAGAUUCAGCUGCCAA